CUGCUCUUUACUUUCGACACAUUUCUGGUGUUUUAAGAUGCCUGAGCCAGCCAAGUCUGCUCCCGCCCCGAAGAAAGGCUCUAAGAAGGCGGUGACCAAGGCACAGAAGAAAGAUGGCAAGAAGCGCAAGCGCAGCCGGAAGGAGAGUUACUCUGUGUACGUGUACAAGGUGCUGAAGCAGGUCCACCCCGACACUGGCAUCUCUUCGAAGGCCAUGGGCAUCAUGAAUUCUUUUGUUAACGACAUAUUUGAGCGCAUCGCGGGCGAGGCUUCCCGCCUGGCGCAUUACAACAAGCGGUCGACCAUCACCUCCAGGGAGAUCCAGACGGCGGUGCGCCUGCUGCUUCCCGGAGAGCUGGCCAAACACGCCGUAUCGGAGGGCACCAAGGCUGUCACCAAGUACACGAGCUCCAAGUAAACUUUCCAAGUAAGCAUCUUAACACCUAACCCCAAAGGCUCUUUUAAGAGCCACCAACAUACCCACUAAAAGAGCUGUGGCCAGACGCCAACUUUUAUUUGGCGGCGGGAGGGUAUUAGAAGGUAGGGAUUGGAGAGGGGUGGGGACAAGUAUUGCAGCUUAGAGGGACAAAGGAGCCUGAACCCGGAAGAAGCCAGCUAUUAAAAAUGGGUUUGGGGGGGUCAAUUCGUUGUGCUUAAAUUUAAAAUGGAGACAAGCGGCCAUUUUGCUUGCUAACUCGGCGUUCCCAGAAGAAACCUGGCUCGCUUAGGUUUCGGACCCAGCUGUCGCUGUACGUCGCCAGGAUCAACGGUUGCCGUAAUGUCAUAAUUUCGCCACCAGCUUCCAGCCAAUAGGCUGUCCUGUCAUUUUUAAUAUUAACCAUUCGAGGGAAAGCUGGUUUGAAACGCUGAUUUACGUAGCGGACCGGAGUGGGAACCUGGGCAGUAACUGUCUAAGGAAGGGACACCCCCUCCUCUGUUUUCGUGGCGCACACCUUCGUAGUAUACUGAACGCUGUGUCUCCUGGGUUUCCAACUGCCCCAGGGGAGACAACAGCUUUUAGACAUAUCUUUUCCAGCGGUCGUCGCUGCUGGACACUGUUUCAUCUUGCAAAUAAACCAAUGAAAAUGAGUGAUUGUAGAAGAAGAUAAAUGGAGGUAUUUUGAACAAUCAAAGAAGGACAAAUGAACACCUGGCUAAGAAAAACUAGCUUUUUUUCUAUGCAUAAAACUAUUAAAAUGUUCUUCAUAGAAAUUUAUGACUUGAGAAACAUAAAGACAAAAUUAAAAUAACUCCUAGUAUCUCCUAUUCUUUUUAUAUGUAUAUCAUAUAUAUUCAUAUUCAUAUAUACAUAUCUCACAUCAUGUAUCAUAUAUAAAAUAAAUUUAGGUGUCAUAUGAUAUGUAUUUAGAUAAAUAUACUUAGAAAAUUUUUUACGGAUGUAUAAUUUAUGGAUGUAUUGAUAAUUAUGUAUUCGUUAUUGACUACUUCGAUUGAUUCCCAUUUUUAUGCAUUUUAUUAUAGAUUAUACAGCUCACACAUCUUUGUACAUAAAUCUUUGUUCAAAUAUUAUUUCCUAAGGAUAGACUUCAUGAAGUGGAAAUACUAAAUCAAAAGUGAAAAACAUUUUUUAAGGUUCUUAACAUAUACAUUCCCAAAUUGCUAUUCAGGAUCAUACCAAUUUAUAAUCCCAACAUAAUAUGGAAAUUCCUGUUUUAUAGCACUCAUAUUUACAAUAAAUUUUUAAAAUCAUUGUUAACCUAAUAGGCCCCCAAAAGAAAAAAAAUUGAAAUUACAUUUCUUUAUUUUAAUGACUCUAUUACUGAGGGUCAUUUUUCCCAUGUUUCUUGUUAGCCAUGACCCUAUAAGAAAUAAACUGCGCUGCAAAAUCAUAAACAUGAUUAUCAGUCAUUACAUGGGAAGGCACUAUAUAAAGAAUAAUACCUUAGGUUAAGGCCAAAUAAAUAUUUAUCAGGUGCCUCUUCUGCGGAGGACUCUGAAGGGAUACUAAACUGCAUUUAGCUGCAUGCAACUGAAACUACUUUUACCUACAUUUUCUCUUACAAACAUUAUAACUACUCUUUGAGAAAGUGUUUACUAUGGACUGAAUUUUCUCCCCAUCCCCCCAAAUUCAUAUAUUGAAGCCAUAAACCCCAAUAUGACUCUAUUCCUAGACAGGACUUAUAAGAGGUAAUUAAGGUUAAAUGAAGUCAGUAGGAUGGGUUCCUAACUGGAUAGGAUUGGUGGCCUUAUAAGAAGAGGAAGAUUCUGCACUUGGUCUUCCAAAUUAAAUAAUUUAUUUAAAAGAAAAAAAAAAGAGGAAGAGAGAGAGCUCUGCACAUAUACUGAGGAAAGGCUAUGUGAGCUCUCACAGUGAGAAGGUAGCACUCUACAAGCCAGCAAGAGAGCUCUCACCAGAAUCCAGCCAUGCUAUACCCUGCUCUGAGACUUCCAGCCUCCAGAACUGUGAGAAAAUUUUGUUGUUUAAACCACACAAUCUAUGGUAUUUUGUUAUGGCAGCCCAAGCCAACAAAGACAGCAUCAUUGCUGUCACUUACAGACAAUAAAACUAAGACUAGGAGAGAUAAAAGUUAAACUUGUCCAAGGUCACAAAAGCCAGAAACAAGUGAGGUGAGAAGCUGACCUUGUUCUCCUCAAUCCAAGGCCAGGACUCCUCCACUCCACAUGUAGAUAGCCACCUCACAGUCAACAGCCAAAUGUCCACACCCCAGAGUCAGCAUUAGACCAAGAUGUCUUACCAGGAGACAAAUGCCUCAUCUUGAAUAAAUAUGUUCUAACAACUUACCCAUGUAAAAUAUUGAACCUCAUGAAAAACAAAAAUGCAAAGUAUGUAGAAAACUAUGCUUGCCACUUAAUUGACAGUGAUACAAAGCUUAAUGAUAUCCUUAUAGUCUUGGAGGGGUUUGUAUAUGUGGUGAAACAGGUGCUCACGCACUGCUGAUAGACUGUAAAUUGGUCCCAGAGAGACAAAUAAACUGGAAGGAGAUAUG